UUGCGCAAGUGAUAGAUUUGUCGGCAAUCUUCGCAAUCCUCUGUCGCGCCUGGGCAUGUAAGCUUUACCUCAGUUUCACGGCCCGGACGACCUGUCCACCCGGCUCACCCAACCAGGCGAGCGGGCGCCGCCGAUCCCACCGGAUCGUCACGGCACCCGGGUCCGCACUGCCCAACCAGGCGGGCGAGGAAAGCGGCGAGAGCAUCGCCGGCACCGGACACUUUUCCCGAGGGGAGGCCGCAAGGUCUCCCU
rnacentral:sRNA from 1 species